rnacentral:ncRNA from 1 species
UCAAAUGCGAUGAUGAGAAGAGUAAAUAACUGGAUUCUUUCACAGAGAGCUCCGUCAGCUGAAAUGGAGUAGGGAAUUCUUUAUUGAAUAAAGCCUCAGAGCAGCACUUCGGAACCUCCAUAUAAAGGGGAUGGCGUGCCAGGAGCUCCUGUUAUAGAGCUAGAGUAUAUGCAUUACAUGCGAAUGCCGUACUUGAAGAGGCUGAAAUGGCGACAUUUUAGCGAAUCUGGGGUGGUACCACGAGGAUGCAAAUCUCGUCCCUAAG